rnacentral:lncRNA from 1 species
GUCCAUUUUCCGUUGGAACUUUACCACGCUGCAGACGGGGGUUGUGAAUUGCAUAGUGUAGAAUUCCUUCCCUUUAGUCUUCACUGCAGCAUCCAUUUGGCUUGCAUAUUGUAGAAGCCUUGGAGGUUGUCACCAGGAAAUGGGCCAAUGAAGUUUUUCAAUUAAAAAUCUUUUAAAAAUAUUUAAUUUACAAAUAUUUUUAUUAGGUUGAAAAACUUAGUCUUUUAUUUAGCAGAUGCCGCUAGGCACCUACUACCAUCUCGUCAGUUGCGGUGGGAGAUGGAUAUGUCGAAAAUUUUUACCUGGGCCAGAGAAAAGCAGCCUAUGCAGUCUCUGAUGAACCUCUAACAAGAGGUGAAAUCGUCGAUAAGAGUGCUGGCUGCACUCUCUGAGCUGAGUAAAAAUUAAG